CUUGGACGCACUAUAAAAAUUUUAACAGGAGGUAUAUACUAUGUUUCUGAUGCAGCUAUAAUUGCUACAACAAUCUCCAGCAUUAACUGCUGAUUGCGAGGGAUCAGGAUUAGACAAAUCAGCAUCACAAAAUGCAAUAAUGGAAAUCUGGUCGAAGGAUUUAAGAGUGGGAGAUGGACUGGUACCAAAGAGAAUCACUUCAAGACAUUUUUGGCCAGUAUUGUAUGUUUAUUUUGUGUUUACAUUCAUCAUUUAAGUUAUGUUUUUACCGGUGUAAACUAUGAACUUCAUUUUAAGCAGACUUAACUACUCUAGGAGUAAUUUUAUACUAGAACCCUCUUUAAGAACCCAAACAUUGGAUCAAGUUUAAUAACUUCUCGCUGAAUACUUGCAAGCAGUGUUUUCGAUUAUUUUUUACUGUAAUAAUGUAACAGAAAUUUAUUCUAUUUUUUUCUGGUGCCCGAGAAUUUUUUCAAAACAAAAAGAAGUGAUUUGGAUUAUGUAUUACAAAUUAUCAGUGACAUGACUGAUGUCGCAAUGUCAACAAAAGUACAUUUGAAAGACAUGCAAAGAACACGACAAACAUUGCGCAAUGUGAUAUUCGACUUCUGCACUUGGAGAUCCAUGGGACAACUGAAGUGUUUAAAUUUUCCUGCUCUGCCUGUUUGAAACUGUCAAACAUCGACCAUAAAAAAACAAAUAUUGGGGGCGUGGCCUGCUCGGGUAUGGAGUAGGACGCAUCCUGAACCUGCUCCGCGGCCCCAGCUCACACUAGCACCCAUCAACGAGCGCUAUCCGACCCGAGAUGGGUAAAUCCCGGAGACCCCACACGCCGGGACCCUCACAAGCCG